UAUCUGUGACAAUUAUAAUCAGAUUGCCUUUUGGAAGAGAAAUAUGGACAGUGACUGCAGUCCUUGCUGUCAUUUUUUUCUUGCUAGGCUGCUCGGGAUCUUACUACCUAUUUUUUUUACCUGAUGUUUUGUAGACUAUACGUAACUGUAAGAACUUCAGAAAUGUUUUGAUUGCAAGCACAUCAUUUUAUUUACAGAAAAUAACUCCAAAAGGAGUUUUCUAUUGUAAUCACUUCAAUCAAGUAGCAAGGUUGGCAAGUUUUUUAUGGGAUGCUUGGGGAGCUCUGUUCAGACUGUGAGGACAAGGAUGGUUUCCUAUCAUGUAUCUCUCAUCCUUCUGAUGUGACCACAGCACCACUUGAGGACAAGACCGCAGGGCGGGAUGACGCUUCUCUUAAGGUGAUGUGUCGCCAUUGACUUUUGUUCCCAAUGGGGUGUGAGCAGAAGAGAUCCUUGUUUCUUCCAGAAUAAAUCCUUUAAUUUUGAGAAUUUUCAGUGCUUUUACCCCUGCCGUACAGUUGUGGAAGCAAACAUUGAACUGGAGGUGUGACCCUGGGCCAUUACAUAAAAAACAGGUCCCCUGAAGCAUCAGCCAGACUC